GAUGAAGAACGUAGCGAACUGCGAUAAGUAAUGUGAAUUGCAGAAUUCAGUGUAUCAUCGAGUCUUUGAACGCACAUUGCGCCCCCUGGCAUUCCGGGGGGCAUGCCUGUCCGAGCGUCAUUGCUGCCCUUCAAGCCCGGCUUGUGUGUUGGGUCGUCGUCCCCCCCGGGGGACGGGCCCGAAAGGCAGCGGCGGCACCGCGUCCGGUCCUCGAGCGUAUGGGGCUUUGUCACCCGCUCGAUUAGGGCCGGCCGGGCGCCAGCCGGCGUCUCCAACCUUCUAUUUUACCAGGUUGACCUCGGAUCAGGUAGGGAUACCCGCUGAACUUAAGCAUAUCAAUAAGCGGAGGA
rnacentral:misc_RNA from 1 species